rnacentral:tRNA from 1 species
GCUCCAAUCGUCUAGCCCGGUCCAGGACGCCGGCUUCUCAAGCCGGUAACACGGGUCCAAAUCCCGUUUGGAGCA